rnacentral:rRNA from 1 species
GUCCACGCCGUAAACGAUGAAUGCUAGCCGUUGGGCAGCUUGCUGUUCAGUGGCGCAGCUAACGCAUUAAGCAUUCCGCCUGGGGAGUACGGCCGCAAGGUUGAAACUCAAAGGAAUUGACGGGGGCCCGCACAAGCGGUGGAGCAUGUGGUUUAAUUCGACGCAACGCGCAGAACCUUACCAGGGUUUGACAUCCUGCGACCGCUCCGUAAUGGGAGUUUUCCCGCAAGGGACGCAGAGACAGGUGCUGCAUGGCUGUCGU